CCUACGGGAGGCAGCAGUAGGGAAUAUUGCUCAAUGGGGGAAACCCUGAAGCAGCAACGCCGCGUGGAGGAUGAAGGUUUUCGGAUUGUAAACUCCUUUUGUGAGAGAAGAUAAUGACGGUAUCUAACGAAUAAGCACCGGCUAACUCCGUGCCAGCAGCCGCGGUAAUACGGAGGGUGCAAGCGUUACUCGGAAUCACUGGGCGUAAAGAGCGCGUAGGCGGGAUAGCAAGUCAGAUGUGAAAUCCUAUGGCUUAACCAUAGAACUGCAUUUGAAACUGUUAUUCUAGAGUAUGGGAGAGGUAGGUGGAAUUCUUGGUGUAGGGGUAAAAUCCGUAGAGAUCAAGAGGAAUACUCAUUGCGAAGGCGACCUGCUGGAACAUAACUGACGCUGAUGCGCGAAAGCGUGGGGAGCAAACAGGAUUAGAUACCCCAGUAGUC
rnacentral:rRNA from 1 species